rnacentral:rRNA from 1 species
UACGUAGGGGGCUAGCGUUAUCCGGAAUUACUGGGCGUAAAGGGUGCGUAGGUGGUUUCUUAAGUCAGAGGUGAAAGGCUACGGCUCAACCGUAGUAAGCCUUUGAAACUGGGAAACUUGAGUCCAGGAGAGGAGAGUGGAAUUCCUAGUGUAGCGGUGAAAUGCGUAGAUAUCACGAGGAACUCCGAUUGCGCAGGCAGCUUACUAAACUACUACUGACGCUCAGGCACGAAGGCGUGGGGAUCAAACAGGAUUAGAUACCCUGGUAGUCCCUGAG